UUUUAUUCCAAAUUUCCCAGAAUUUUGUGAAUUUUAAAUGGAAUUUUUUGCUUUUUAAUGAGAUUUUCUCCAGAUUUUUUAAAUAAUUUGGGAAAUAUUUCAUUUUUUUAUGGAAUAUUCCCAAAAUAUUCCCAAUUUUUCCUGGAAUUCUCUCCUCAGGUCGCCAUGGAGACGGAUCCUAUUGGCCCCUGGACAUCGACCGCAGCAUCAAUGAUUCUCCAGUUGGACAAAGAAAUUCAGCUCCAGGCACCGGAAUUUUGCUCCUCAUCCUUGGAAUAUCCGGAGGCGUCUCCGUGGUGGCCGCGGCCGUCGGAGCCUGGAUCUGCUCCAGGAGAAACGAGGAGAGGAAGAGGAAAAACCACGGCAAAAGGAAAGGAAGCCAGAAAGAGCCGAGACCUCCGGAUUUAUGGAUCCACCACGAGGAAAUGGAACUGAAAAACCUGGAAAAACCUCGGGAAUCGGAGCCUCCUCCUCCUCCUCCNNNNNNNNNNNNNNNNNNNNCUCCUCCUCCUCCUCCUCCUCCUCCUCCUCCCAAUUCCCAGGAAAUCCCAAAGGAUCCCAAAAGUUCGGAAUCGCAGCCGCCUCCAAAAAAUCUUCCCCAGGCAGGUGAGGGGAAAUUUCCAUGGAGUUUUGGGAAUUUUUCCGGAAAUUUUGGGGUUUUUUUUUACGAGAAAAAUUGUUUUGAAAAUUUGAGAGAAUUGCCAAAAAUUUUCCCUCCAAAAUUCCCAUUUUUUUCCUUAAAAUAACUCAAAAAAAAUCUCCAAAAUUUCCCAAAAAAUCCCCAAAAAAUCCCCAAAAAUUCCCUAAAAAAUUCUCAAAAAUUCCCCAAAAAUUCCCCAAGAAAUUCUCAAAAAUUCCCCAAAAAUUCUCAAAAAUUCCCUAAAAAUUCCCCAAAAAAUUCUCAAAAAUUCCCUAAAAAUUCACUAAAAAAUCCCCAAUUUUACCCAAAAAUUCCUUUAAAAAAUCCCCAAAAAUUCUCAAAAAUUCCCUUAAAAUUCCCAAAAAAAAUCUCAAAAAUUCCCCAAAAAUUCCGCCAAAAAUUCCCUAAAAAUUUCCCCAAAAAAAUCUCAAAAAUUCCCCAAAAAAACCCCAAAAAAUCCCCCAAAAAUUCUCAAAAAUUCCCCCCAAAAUUCUCAAAAAUUCCCUAAAAAUUCAAAAAAAAUCCCCAUUUUUACCCUAAAAUUCCUCCAAAAAAAAUCCCCAAAAAUUCCGAAAAAAAUCCCCCAAAAUUCCCUAAAAAUUCUCAAAAAUUCCCCCAAAAAUUCUCAAAAAUUCCCCAAAAAUUCCCUAAAAAUUCCCUAAAAAUCCCAAAAAUUCCCCACAAAAUUCUCAAAAAUUCCCCAAAAAAUUCCCCAAAAAAUUCUCAAAAAUUCCCUAAAAAACCCCCAAAAAUUCCCAAAAAAAUCCUCAAAAAUUCCCUAAAAAUUCCCCAAAA
rnacentral:lncRNA from 1 species